rnacentral:rRNA from 1 species
UGAGGAAUAUUGCGCAAUGGGGGAAACCCUGACGCAGCGACGCCGCGUGGAUGAUGAAGGCCUUCGGGUCGUAAAAUCCUGUCAGGUGGAAAGAAAUGUAGUAUGCCUAAUACGUGUACUAUUUGACGGUACCACCAAAGGAAGCACCGGCUAACUCCGUGCCAGCAGCCGCGGUAAUACGGAGGGUGCAAGCGUUGUUCGGAAUUACUGGGCGUAAAGCGCGCGUAGGCGGUUUUAUAAGUCAGAUGUGAAAGUCCCCGGCUCAACCGUGGAAGUGCAUUUGAAACUGUGGAACUUGAGUACUGGAGGGGGUGGUGGAAUUCCCGGUGUAGAGGUGAAAUUCGUAGAUAUCGGGAGGAAUACCGGUGGCGAAGGCGACCACCUGGCCAGAUACUGACGCUGAGGUGCGAAAGCGUGGGGAGCAAACA